rnacentral:rRNA from 1 species
ACGAACGCUGGCGGCGUGCCUAAUACAUGCAAGUAGAACGCACAGUUUAUACCGUAGCUUGCUACACCAUAGACUGUGAGUUGCGAACGGGUGAGUAACGCGUAGGUAACCUGCCUGGUAGCGGGGGAUAACUAUUGGAAACGAUAGCUAAUACCGCAUAAUAUUAAUUAUUGCAUGAUAAUUGAUUGAAAGAUGCAACUGCAUCACUACCAGAUGGACCUGCGUUGUAUUAGCUAGUAGGUGAGGUAACGGCUCACCUAGGCGACGAUACAUAGCCGACCUGAGAGGGUGAUCGGCCACACUGGGACUGAGACACGGCCCAGACUCCUACGGGAGGCAGCAGUAGGGAAUCUUCGGCAAUGGACGAAAGUCUGACCGAGCAACGCCGCGUGAGUGAAGAAGGGUUUCGGAUCGUAAAGCUCUGUUGUAAGAGAAGAACGGGUGUGAGAGUGGAAAGUUCACACUGUGACGGUAGCUUACCAGAAAGGGACGGCUAACUACGUG